rnacentral:lncRNA from 1 species
CACGCUGAACGCUACUCUUCCAGAUAACUCAGCGCAGGACCCAGAGUGACACGGAGACGAUCUGCUUGCAAUAAGGAGCUGUGUCAGUCAGUUAAAAGUCCCCGGAGCGAGAAGAAUAGGAAAAUGAAGGAGAAUAAAUAUUGAGCGUUCCAGGGUGAGAUGAGUGUCUGGGGAGGAGGUUGCUGAUUCGCAAACCAUACAUUCAGGGAGCUGCAGGAACAACAAUAAUUAGUAGAGCUACUUGAGAACCCAUAGCAUUUUUCAAUGACUGCAGUUCUCUGGGCUCAGAGAAGGCUAAGAUGGCGUCCCAUGAGGAUAAGUGCAUGAUGAACUGAGCAGACAUGUAUCACAUUGAGCUCACUGGAGUGGUCUCUGUAUAUGAAUGGUACCC